UACAGAGGGUGCAAGCGUUAAUCGGAAUUAUUGGGCGUAAGGCGCACGUAGGCGGUUCGUUAAGUCGGAUGUGAAAGCCCUAGGCUCAACCUAGGAAGUGCAUUCGAAACUGGCGAGCUUGAAUAUGGAAGAGGGUCGCGGAAUUCCCGGUGUAGAGGUGAAAUUCGUAGAUAUCGGGAGGAACACCAGUGGCGAAGGCGGCGACCUGGGCCAAUAUUGACGCUGAGGUGCGAAAGCGUGGGGAGCAAACAGG
rnacentral:rRNA from 1 species